UGCCCCAUAGCAAUGGGGCAGUGACAACAAAUGUCCUUAUGAACAAGUUCAAACCAUGCCCCACAUUGUUGACUCAUGUCCAUUUCCUAUGUGACCCAGCG